UGCCACCAUGUCUAGCUAAUUUUUAUUUUUGGUUUUGUUUUCUAGCGAUAGAGUUUAGCUGUGUUUCCCAAGCUGGCCUUGAACUCUUGAGCUCAAGCAAUCCACGCAUCUCGGUUUCCCAAAGUGUGAGCAUUACAGACAUGAGCUACCACAUCUGUCCUCUUAUUACAAUUUAGAGAAAUUAAAGCCUAGAUUUCAAUGGAGGUGACUCAAGACAAUCUACUGCAAGAGUUGAAGUGAAACAUGGGAAAGAGAGGAGAGUAUCCUUGAUACUUUCUACUUGAGAGUCAUAAGGGAUAGAUAUAUACUCCAGAAUAGGAGCAUGAGAGGAAAAAGCAAAACCUUACUAUCCAAGAGCAAAAUAGUAUCUCCUGAAUGAAUGGAUCGAUGGAUGCAAACAUUACUGUUACUGAGGCAGAAGACCUACAUUCGAAUCAACACCUCGCUAUUUAUACUUAAUCCCAAGCAAACCAUAAACUCUCUGUGAAAGACAAUGUAGAAGUAUGAAUGUGAUCUUCUGUCUUCUUAAAACCAGGUGGCUAGACUGGGCAAUUCCUUCGUGGUCUUAUCAGCAGUAUGAUCAAUUUCUCCAUAUGCAAAAGAUUGCAAGAUUUGUCUUCUAGGAAAUGGAGUGUGAGAGUUUAUGGGCCACUCUAUCGUGUUGAGCAACAGAGGGAUUGUUUGAGCUGUAGAGAGCUGAAAAUAUUAGAGAAGAUGGAAAAGAAAGCUGACUUUCUGAGACCACCUGCAAGAGAAGAAACUAAAAAUAAUCAACUUCCUGCAACUAGGUAUCUUGUCUCCC
rnacentral:lncRNA from 1 species